ACACCUCAACCCUCGUGGUCUUCCACGAUCGGCUUGGACUUUGGAGGCUUUGCUGGCCCCUGCGGUCGGCUCCUCUCAAAUGAAUCAGCUCGCCAGUGUUUGGUGGCGUCGCAGGUGUGAUAAAUAUCUACGCUUGCGGCCGUCUGCCAUGCAACCUUCAGCGAUGAGGGUUUGCUGAGGCUCACAGAUGUCUUUCCCGAGUGAAGACAGCUUUUUGAUC
rnacentral:misc_RNA from 1 species